AAAUAUUGUGCAAGCGAAUUGACUUACCCCUCCCGACGUUUUGACAGUUUUGUUAUUUUGUUUUAUCUUUUCGCGUUUGUUUUGCUCAUUUUGUUUUUCGGUUAUAAAACAACUGGAUUUAUGGUCACUGUCACCAAUCCAAAAGUGGAAUUAUCACAACAGAAGCUUUUCGGACGCAGCGAUCAAAAUGAUGAUUCUCCAGGACCGCCAACUGGCGAUGAUCUCUGCAGCCGCAAAGAACGAAUCAGAAUUUAAAGAGGAGCCUACGUAUCGCAAUAAUAGAACUAGCAGCAGUCGUGAACCGAUAAGUACUUCUCGGACCACAGCAAUUCCGGUAACACCCCCAACAGCAACGAACAUUUUACAACCUAUCAUAUCCAAGAAUAUCAUUUUGGACUAAUCUGGCAUUAAUUUCGGUUGAUUGGCGCGACAAAGAAGACGGUCCAGUUUACAUGAUGGAUGAUGUAUUGGCGGAACCAAAACCAGAGCCUAUGCAGCUAGUAUCGUUAAGUUAAUUAUGGAUUUGCUAGCAUUUGUUAUACUGCACACCGAGCAUCAACGAGAAAUAAAUCAUUGCCAUCUUGACCCGUAAAUAAAGGUCAAUGAAAAUUAGGUUAUGCGUCUGCCCCACAUCAUCUCUCGGCUUUCACUCGCAAAAGUACGAUGUUCCUGGAGCACAUAGAUUAUUCGUGAUUGAAUCCUGAUCAGCGUAUUCCUCAAAGUUUAUAUGCAGCGGUAAUUCGUCGACACUUUUAGUUCUUUGUUCCUAAGUACGAUCGAUGAGUCAACGAAAUUUCAGCUGCGCAUCUGUCGCCGCGUUUAAAUACGUUGACGCCAGUGAAUAUAAUAAAAUAAUAAUCGAUUGUUUGAUAUUAACCAUCAAACCAACUCAAUUAAACAGAGACUAACUUGAAAGCAUUACUACUUGAUACUAUGUAUGUACUGAAAGAAAAAAAAAACUUGCAGAAGUAAAGUUUUCAUAUUAAUAAACUGAACAAU